GACAGAGGUGCCGAGCGUUAGGCGGAAUCACUGGGCUUAAAGCGUGUGUAGGCGGACUUCUAAGUGCUUUGUGAAAUCCCCCGGCUCAACCGGGGAACUGCUUGGCAUACUGGGAGUCUUGAGCCAUCUAGGGGCAACCGGAACAAACGGUGGAGCGGUGAAAUGCGUAGAUAUCGUUUGGAACGCCAAUGGUGAAAACAGGUUGCUGGGGAUGUGCUGACGCUGAGACACGAAAGCCAGGGGAG
rnacentral:rRNA from 1 species